CUCACCCUUCACUCACUGACCCUAGUCGCCACUCUCACUCCCUCAACACACCCACACACACAGAGAACAGAGAGGGGAAAAGAGAAGAGAGAGGAGAAGAAGAAGAGAAGAGAAAGGAGAGGGAGACGGCGUGGUGGGCGUCACUGCCACCAUCGCCUCCACUGUGCCGUCAAUAGGAGAGAGUUCACAGAGAGAUCUCGCAUUGAGGGAAGAGGAGCUGUCGAGCCACGCGUCGCCAUCGUCCUUGCGUCGCCGUUGUUACCGCCGAGGAGGUAGAAGACGCUGAGAAAGAAGGGCACGACCUAGUGACAGGGAGGGAGGACUGCUGCCAUUUUGCCUUGUCGCCAUCAAGCUCCUUCAUCUCGUCGUCACCGUCACGUCUGUCGUCACCGAUGGGUGAGUCUGCCGUUGAGCUGGUCACCGGAAAGAGAGAAGGUGACGGUGGGGGUAUUGUCGCUACGGUUAUCGUUGUUGUGGAAGGAGGUUGCUGCUAAGCUGCAUGCGGCUGUUGGAGCUACACCGUUGUCGUCGCCGUUACUGGGGAUCCUCGGAGUCAGCUGCCAAAGCUGCGGUUGCUCUGUUCUUAAUUUUUGUAAUACAGUAAAUGUCUCUACUCCGAAAACCCUUUUAGUCAUUGUUUCGUUAUAUAUUGUUGAAGUUUCUGCGGCGUUAUUGCGAUAGGGUUGAGUUGCGAUUCUUGCAUGCCGCGUUUGGAGUUGCUGUUGUUGUUGCAGAAGCGGUAUGAAGUUGCGGUUGUGGUUGUCGCUGUUGUGGGCCGAGAAAAAGGGUUUUGCUGCGUUUAUUAAUUACCGAGAUUGACAAUCGAGACUUCUCUUUUCAGGACGGACGAGAAAGCUUACGGAAUUUUAAUUUGCUGAAUUCUUAGCUAUGCUGUUUCUGUUUAUAUACAUAUGUUAUGCAUUUCCCUCGCUUUUAUUAUUAUAUUCUUGUAAGAGGGAUAGGAGUCGUGAUUGUAAUAAUAUGUAUGUAUAUAAUAUUUGUAAGCUACUUGUGUAAGAAGUGUUUGUAUAUCUAUA